rnacentral:sRNA from 22 species
AAAAUAAAGACCUCCUAACUUUAUUUAAUAAAAUCCUAAACUUUUUUCAUCACAAUCUCCUAAUGAAGCCACCCACAGGGGUGGCUUUUGC